UAAGACUCUCAAACCAGAGCUUUAUCGGCGUCUCCUCUCGCCGGUGCCGUCACAAUCAUUGGGUUCUGUAUCUCCAUUUGGACCUUCUCCAUCAGAUCAUCACCAAGGGUAGCCUUUCUGGAGAGUUAUUUCCUUUAUCUCGAUGAGCUCUCUCUCAGCGACACAGCCUUAGCCGUUUCCUGCUGAUUUUUUUUGCAGUGUUUCCUGUUGAUUUUUCUCUUACAGAUCAUCGCCAAGCAUGGCUCUUAAUUUCUGCGACACUUCGAUGAGUUAUUUCCUUUCCAGAUCAUCGCCAAUUUUAUCCUUUUUAUUGUGCCAUUGAUUGGGUUGUCAGUUCUGUCUGAAGCACGUGACAUUGAUUAAGCUUGUUCUUUAUAACGUUAUCUGGGAGAGAUUUUGGGCUGACUUAAGCGAUUUGAAUGUUGAGAAGACUGUUUUGGAUGUGGGAACUGGAAGCGGCAUUCUUGCGAUAUGGUCAGCACAGGCUGGAGCAAGGAAAGUAUACGCAAUGGAAGCAACUAAGAUGGCAGAACAUGCUCGUACUCUUAUCAAAGCAAAUAAUCUUCAACAUUUGGUUGAAGUAAUUGAGGGCUCAAUGGAAGAUAUAACUUUACCGGAGAAAGUUGACGUGAUAAUCUCUGAGUGGAUGGGAUAUUUUCUUCUGCGUGAAUCUAUGUUUGAUUCAGUAAUAUGUGCUCGUGACUGCUGGCUCAAACCAACAGGUGUGAUGCAUGCCAUUGUAGAAGAACUAGCAGAAUUUGGAGCAACUGUGCAUAUAUGUUCCCGUAACCAAUUAGACAUCGACAAGUGUUUGAAAGAGUGGAGGAGCAAAGGAUUUUGUGUCACUAGAUCAGUCUGCGAUGUGAUCUAAAGUCACCAGUGUCAAAAUUUAAUGCAAAUUGUUGCCUCCAUUUUUCAUGGAAAGCUCAACAUCCUUGAUAGAUGUUGCUGACAGAGUUGGAAAGAAAUCUGUAAUGAAGCAAAGCAAGGACCAUCCCACAAAAAAUAUGCACAAUUGUUUCCAGAAUUGCACUAUAUUGCAGAAUCAAGGUGCUGCGGGAAAAAAAACAAAAAACAGAGAAUAUGUUAACGCUUGAAGACUCCAAACUUGCAAUAUGUAGUAUGCUGAUUUGAAGAAAGACUAUAGUGCUGGUUUGUGGAAUUGUUAGGUGACAGGGAUUGUAUUAAAUGAUGUAAAAGUAUCAUUUUUUUUGCAAUUUUGAGUAUGUAAACGUUGUUAAUUGUAUAUAGGCCAAAAGAGACAAAUGUUUUAAAUUGUAUAUGACAUUAUGAAAAUUAAUAAAAUUAUG